CCUACGGGUGGCCGCAGUGGGGAAUAUUGGACAAUGGGGGCAACCCUGAUCCAGCCAUGCCGCGUGUGUGAAGAAGGCCCUCGGGUUGUAAAGCACUUUCAGUGAGGAAGAACGCCUGGUGGUUAAUACCCAUCAGGAAAGACAUCACUCACAGAAGAAGCACCGGCUAACUCCGUGCCAGCAGCCGCGGUAAUACGGAGGGUGCGAGCGUUAAUCGGAAUUACUGGGCGUAAAGCGCGCGUAGGUGGCUUGAUAAGCCGGUUGUGAAAGCCCCGGGCUCAACCUGGGAACGGCAUCCGGAACUGUCAAGCUAGAGUGCAGGAGAGGAAGGUAGAAUUCCCGGUGUAGCGGUGAAAUGCGUAGAGAUCGGGAGGAAUACCAGUGGCGAAGGCGGCCUUCUGGACUGACACUGACACUGAGGUGCGAAAGCGUGGGUAGCAAACAGGAUUAGAUACCCCAGUAGUC
rnacentral:rRNA from 1 species